UACGUAGGCAGCAAGCGUUGUUCGGAUUUACUGGGCGUAAAGGGCGCGUAGGCGGCCACCGCAAGUCGACUGUGAAAUCUCCGGGCUUAACCCGGAAAGGUCAGCCGAUACUGCGGGGCUAGAGUGCAGAAGGGGCAACUGGAAUUCUCGGUGUAGCGGUGAAAUGCGUAGAUAUCGAGAGGAACACCUGCGGCGAAGGCGGGUUGCUGGGCUGACACUGACGCUGAGGAGCGAAAGCGUGGGGAGCGAACAGG
rnacentral:rRNA from 1 species